rnacentral:rRNA from 1 species
CUUUGAUCAUGGCUCAGGACGAACGCUGGCAGCGCGCCUAACACAUGCAAGUCGAACGGGGUUAUACUGGAUGAAGUUUUCGGAUGGAAUUUGGUAUAACCUAGUGGCGGACGGGUGAGUAACACGUGAGCAACCUGCCUAUCAGAGGGGGAUAACGAUUGGAAACGAUCGCUAAUACCGCAUGACAUAGCGGAACCGCAUGGUUCUGUUAUCAAAGAUUUUAUCGCUGAUAGAUGGGCUCGCGUCCGAUUAGAUAGUUGGUGGGGUAACGGCCUACCAAGUCGACGAUCGGUAGCCGGACUGAGAGGUCGAACGGCCACAUUGGGACUGAGACACGGCCCAGACUCCUACGGGAGGCGGCAGUGGGGGAUAUUGCACAAUGGGGGAAACCCUGAUGCAGCGACGCCGCGUGAGGGAAGACGGUCCUCUGGAUUGUAAACCUCUGUCUUCGGGGACGAAAGUAGACGGUACCCGAGGAGGAAGCCACGGCUAACUACGUGCCAGCAGCCGCGGUAAUACGUAGGUGGCAAGCGUUGUCCGGAAUUACUGGGUGUAAAGGGAGCGUAGGCGGGCAGGCAAGUCAGGCGUGAAAUAUAUCGGCUCAACCGGUAACGGCGCUUGAAACUGCAGGUCUUGAGUGAAGUAGAGGUUGGCGGAAUUCCUAGUGUAGCGGUGAAAUGCGUAGAUAUUAGGAGGAACACCAGUGGCGAAGGCGGCCAACUGGGCUUUUACUGACGCUGAGGCUCGAAAGUGUGGGGGGCAAACAGGAUUAGAUACCCUGGUAGUCCACACCGUAAACGAUGAUUACUAGGUGUGGGGGGACUGACCCCUUCCGUGCCGGAGUUAACACAAUAAGUAAUCCACCUGGGGAGUACGGCCGCAAGGUUGCAACUCAAAGGAAUUGACGGA